rnacentral:rRNA from 1 species
AACCCUAUGUGGCUAAUAUAGGGCAAUUUCUGCUCAAUGAUACAUUAAAUAGCCGCAGUACUCUGACUGUGCAAAGGUAGCAUAAUCAUUUGGCUUAUAAUUGAAGUCUGGCAUGAACGAAUGUUUGGCUUACGACUGUCUUAGUAGAACCUCUUGAAUUUAAUUAGCAGGUGAAAAUGCCUGCGAAAUUUUAAUAGACGAGAAGACCCUUGAAAUUUUUACCAAAUUGUGUGAUAUACUGCCUGUUUUUGUUGGGGCGACAAAAUAACAGCAAAACUUAUUGUUGUAGAUUUGGAACUAAAUGUUGUGGAAAAGUAAAUUACUCUAGGGAUAACAGCAUAAUUUUCUAAAAGUUUGUGACCUCGAUGUUGGAUUAGGGAAUCGUUUGGCCAGAAGCCAAAACGAUGAUGUUCUGUUCGAACAGUUUUUCCUACAUG